rnacentral:rRNA from 1 species
GUACACGCUGUGACUAGCAUAUCAAUAAGCGGAGGAAAAGAAACUAACAAGGAUUCCCCUAGUAACGGCGAGUGAAGCGGGAAGAGCUCAAAUUUGAAAUCUUAAAGGGUUUCCCUUUGCGAAUUGUAGUUUAAAGAAGUGUUUUCUGUUGAGGUUUUGGUAAAAGUUCUUUGGAAUAGGACAUCAUAGAGGGUGAGAAUCCCGUAUUUGACCUUUACUUUCAACUUUGUGAUACACUUUCAAAGAGUCGGAUUGUUUGGGAAUGCAGUCCAAAAUGGGUGGUAAAUUUCAUCUAAAGCUAAAUAUUGGCGAGAGACCGAUAGCGAACAAGUACCGUGAGGGAAAGAUGAAAAGAACUUUGAAAAGAGAGUUAAACAGUACGUGAAAUUGUCAAAAGGGAAGCGUUUGACACCAGUGUUGUUUUUCUGAAAAUCAAUUAAAGAACUGUUUAUGCUAAGUUGUUUAGACUUUAUCAGCUAACUGUUUAGUUUUGAGCUUUUCUUUAAUGCACUUUUCAGUUAACAAGUCAACAUCAAUUUCUUUUGCUGUAAAAAAGCUUGAGGAAGGUGGCUUGAGAUUCGUCUUAAGUGUUUAUAGCCUCUUGCCUAUGCAGUCGGAGAGAUUGAGGUCUGCAGCGUAGAUCCUUCGGGGCUAAAUGCAUUUGUGCUAAGUUAUAGCAUUUUAUAGACAACUUGUUGACUAUGAUUUGUCUUGUAGCUUACUCGCUUAUGUUAUUUUACCUACGCUUAGGAUGUUGAUAUGCAUGACUGAUAU